rnacentral:ncRNA from 2 species
AUAUUCUGGUGUCCUAGGCGUA